AGCAAGCGUACGAAGGAGUACACGGCGGCCGAGGUCAAGCUUCUUUGCGAGUGUUGGCGAGACAUUGGACAAGACCCGAAGACGGGCGCCGAGCAAAAGCAUUCGACCUUUUGGACUCGUGUGCACCGAGAGUUCCAUGAGCGCAAGAAGUUUCCACCUUACCAAUUUGUGAGCACGCGCGGGUGGGUCUCCAUUUCCAAACGGUGGAGGGUGAUCCAACAAGAGUGCAACAAGUUUUGCGCCACCCUUGAGAGCGUCAAGGCCCGCCCCAUGAGCGGCAUCGGCAUGCACGACAUAGUAUGA
rnacentral:rRNA from 1 species